AACGAUCAACUAAUGCGGCGACAUAAUGUAACCCCAUCAGCAAUAGAGAGUUGGCAAAUCUCGAUCCGUGGAUCAAUAGCGAGAGCCUUGUUCAAUUCCAACACAAAGUCCCUGUUAUAUCUGAUUCUCUCAUCCAUUUUUGCGUCAGGUGGUGCAGCUACAGAUCCAUACCACAGCGUGUUGUCGUAGCCAAUCACUCCCCCAACCUACACAAGUUCAAUAAUCCUCUUGUGGUAGUUAAUGUAGUUAUUCUUAUCAGCAUCAACAAAGAUAAAGUCAAAUGUCCCAUGAUAUUUUUCCUGUGAAAUUCAAACAUUAAUUUUGAGCUAUACAACUCUAAUCUUCUAUAUACUAAACAAUCUUAUACGAGGAAUUUGUGCUUACGUCUUGGAUCAUUUGAUCGAGAAGAGGGAGAGCUGGGCCUUCUCUGAAGUCAAUCUUGUGAGCAAUACCAGCCUUUUCAAUUAUGGGGAGACCGAGUUCGUAGUAUUCUCUAUUGAAGUCAAUCUUGUGAGCAAUACCAGCCUUUUCAAUUAAAACCCGCUGCGGGUUGCGGGUGGGUUUGGUAAUUUAAAUUUUGUGCGGGUUUGGGUUUGGUAAUGGCAAACCCACUGCGGGCGGUGCCUAUUGCCAUCCCUAUGCGUGACAACUUAUUUUAGAACAAUUCAGUUUAUCUAAUGAUAAAAUUUAGUAAUUUAUUUUUAAAAUUUAGAAAAAUGCAAGUUUUCCAAACACCUACUUAAUUGCUUAUUCAUUGAGCAGAGUUGAAAGAUAAUUUUGAAAAAUACAAUGGAUAAAAUAACGAUCAACUAAUGCGGCGACAUAAUGUAACCCCAUCAGCAAUAGAGAGUUGGCAAAUCUCAAUCCGUGGAUCAAUAGCGAGAGCCUUGUUCAAUUCCAACACAAAGUCCCUGUUAUAUCUGAUUCUCUCAUCCAUUUUUGCGUCAGGUGGUGCAGCUACAGAUCCAUACCACAGCGUGUUGUCGUAGCCAAUCACUCCCCCAACCUACACAAGUUCAAUAAUCCUCUUGUGGUAGUUAAUGUAGUUAUUCUUAUCAGCAUCAACAAAGAUAAAGUCAAAUGUCCCAUGAUAUUUUUCCUGUGAAAUUCAAACAUUAAUUUUGAGCUAUACAAAUCAAUUACAGCUCUAAUCUUCUAUAUACUAAACAAUCUUAUACGAGGAAUUUGUGCUUACGUCUUGGAUCAUUUGAUCGAGAAGAGGGAGAGCUGGGCCUUCUCUGAUGUCCAUGGCCAAUAUCUGUAACAAUAUUCAAUAUUAAGACCAGUUUAAUUAGUAUACAGUUUGAAGCCAGGGUCUAAUUUAAUGGGGAAAAGCUAUCUUUCGAAGGCUCGAGUCCCAAGUUCAAUAAAGAUUUGUAUUCAUCCACUGUACCUUGCCGUCGUCGGGAAUAGCAAGGGCAGUUACGAGGAGAGAGUAACCGGUAUAAACACCAAUUUCCAUGGUAUUCUUGGCGUUGAUAAGCUUGAGUAGCAUGCUCAGGAAUUGUGCUUCGUCAGGUGCGCUGAACAUAAAGUUCCUGCGCAUUCCAUUAAUUUGUUGAGAACAAUUUACAAAAAAGAAAAAGAACAGCUGAUAAGAAAUCAUCAAAUACAAAUAAUCAAGAUUCUUAAUUAGAACGCAGAAUCUCACCAGACUUCUCCUAUAUAUUAACUAUGUAAUUGACGAGAAUCUUACUGUGGAUGCUUUUCUGUCAACUCGCGGAGCUCCUUCAAACACUCAUGCUCUCUUGGAUAUACAGUAGUUUCAAGUAUAUACUGCGAGAUAUUAAUCAUUAAUUCUGUUGAUGCUGAAAUCUGCUCGCCCUUCUCUCGACCAGAUCUUUGCACCAACAUUUAUGUAUUCAAUAGUGAGAAUGUCAAUUUCUUCUUGCUUCAACGAUCGCUCUAGUUACUGAAGUUAGAAUUAUCCAUCAUUCUCCCACUAAGCCUGCGUUCACAAAAGUGGAUCAGAGACGCCGGUGGUUUUACCGGCGUAAACCCUUCGAUGCCUAAGUUAGCACAAGGUGUUUACGGGAAAACGGUGCAAUUUAGAUUUGAUAAGUUAAUUAUUAUUGGCUCACAGUAUGUAUUAAAAAUGGUUUGGUUUCAAUUUGGCAGAGCUUUCCAUUCUCUCAAUUUUUCUGUACCAUUUCUUCAUGGGUUUCUUUCUCUUUUAUAGCCGCUGUCCCCCGUUUCCGUUUACCCUUCAUCCCCCAUUUAUCUCGGGUAGUGGGAGCCCCCCAUGGGACUCCAACUGCUACAUUGUGGGUAAACGUGGGGCACCGUGUCUCCCUUGAUGGUUCUGGGCCUAGCGCAACUGUCGUGAUUUCGUGAGAUCGUGUUCCCACUCUUUGGGGAAUGGGUAUCUGCUUGGUAUUUGUCUCUGGUCGGUACAUUCCUCUGGCUGAUAUUCAUCUCUGGUUGGCCCUUGUUCGCAGAAGACUCAUUAUCAGUGUUCUGCUCGUACCAUUUGGCUGAGGUGAUCCAUGCUGGGGUGGAAAUGAUGGCAUGGCUGAGCUGGUGCUCUUAUCUACUUAACACCAGUCCCCGAGUUUCUGGUCUUGCGAGUGAAACGAGUUGAGAGUAGAAACUGAUAGUCAAGUCUUACCGACCCAGGGAACUUUUCAUCUGGUCUUCUGUUUACUAGGAUGGACCUGGGGUUCCAUUUUUCGUCUAGGGAGAUUCCAAUUUGAGCAUGGGCCUUAUGAGCAUGUCCAUUGCAUAUCUGGGCUUGCGUUGGCCUUAUGAGCAUGUCCAUUGCAUAUCUGGGCUUGCGUUUCGUCUGGCCUCUUAUAACGGUUAGUGACGUGGCAUCUCCAGACUCUUCGUAUUUGAAAUUUGAAACGACGGGCUAUCCAUCCUCAAUAUACGGUGAGUGAGCUGGCAUCCCCAUCACUUAAACGCUUCCAUUUCCCCCUUUUCGUUUCAAAUCCCUAGAUUGAAAUCAUCAUCAUUUUGUUAUUCGUCUCUCCGCCGUUAGCCAACUCCUUCUUUGAACUUUGUUCACACCUCCCGCGUCCGGAGUAUCCAUUUGCUGGGUGUUUUCUCUGUCACGGCAGCACUAUCAGUGCCAGUCUAUUACAGGUAUAGUCUUUAACCUCUUCUUUGGUUGUUGUUGAUUGGGUUCUGUGUUGCCCCUUUUUGUAUUCGUGUACUCGGGUUUGCUUUGGUUUUCUUUUGAGAUUUCGAUAUGUCAAAUCGGAGAAGGAAGUUAAUUGCAGAUGAGAGUGACGAAGAAACAGAGGAUUCAAACCUUAACUUGUCAAUACCCACUGAUUUUCUACAUCCCUCCAGUAGUGUAGGCCCCUCUCAUGGUAGGGAUACCCUUGAGUACCCACGUCCCCUGACCACUUCACCCUCCCCUGAUUUAGAGCUUAUAGGAAAUAGAAGUGGACCUGCGUCGGGUUCUGGUGAGAACCACAGUUCUGGUGGGGUUGGGGUCCCUGAAGAAGUGGGUGAUAGUGAGGGAAACAGUUCUGAGCCGAGCCGACCCCCUAAGAAGAGAAACUUUGGCCAUAGGGUGAAGGCAGAUUCUUACCCUAUUGAUUACAUAGCUUGUGCCACCACCUCAACCGAUCUGUUCAAGCUUAGGAAUCUCUACAACAUUCCUGAGGAGGUUCUCAUUGUAGUUCCUGGGAAAGGCGACGUUCCUAGUCGGCCUCCGAGGGGGUAUGUAACGAUGCAUCUGGAGAGUUUCAGAUUAGGAGCUCGGCUGCCCCUUCAGCGUUACUUUGCCAAGAUACUAGGUGGUAUGCACCUGGCCCCAGGUCAGCUACAUCCAAAUGGGUAGAAGGUUCUCUCGACUAUGUACGUGUUAUGGGAGAGGUGUGGAUCGGAGGAGCCCUCCCUUGUUAAAGUAAAGCAUUUAUACCAGCUGAGGAGUAGCCCGAAGGAAGCAGGCUGAUAUUACUUCAUGUCGAGCUCUGCAAAGAGGAAGCCAAUCACCGGCUUCCCCUCCUCGUGUAAAAAUUGGAAGAAUAAAUUUUUCUUUGCUGGAGGAAGUUGGUGUCCAGUAACUCGUUCGCUUGAUGGUGAUAUUUACCUUCCAACGCAUUUUAUCACCCCAGGUCGUUCAUUUUUUUUUUAUUCUUUCUCAAAUUGUGACUUAUUGGGUUCUUUAACCUUGUUUUCUCUUUUAGAAUCGUGGGGUUUGAUUAAGGAACUUGAAGACCGACCUUUGCUCUAGGUGGAAACUGCUCUGGUGAACGCGUCUACUUGCCAAGACCUCCUGUCACCAACAAACCUGGUCGAUUCGGGUUUAGUAGACAUAGUUGCCGGAAUGGACAACAAGAUCCUCAGUGCUAUGACCAGAAAGCGUGGUCGAGCUCCAAGUAGCUCCAGCAACACUCCUCCUCCUCCGAAGAAAGCCAAUGUUGGUCAACCCAAGGCUUCUGUUCCUGCUCUGCCCCCUCCUCCUCCUCGAAAAAAUGGUGGGGAGAAGGUGAGUGAUAAAAGUCCUGAGGUCAGCAUCCAGUCCAGGGACCGGUCUUCUCCUCUUCCAUCUCGGGAUCAAGGUGACUACUUGAGCCCAUACCAGAGGGAUUACGGCAAAUCGGUGAGGCCUAAGAUGGUGAAGGACAUCAAGAGUAUAAACCUCUCCGAGUUAGCUGGAUCCGUUCAAAGAGUCUCCUUCAAGCUGGCCACCAUGGUUUCGUGCUACAAGAACAUGUUCAUUCGCCAUGAGAGGAGGCUCCAAGCUAAUAACCAGGACUUGAAGAAAAAGGUUGAGUCUGCCGACCGCUUGAAGCAAAAGCUGCUUGAUCUGCACAAGCAAAUCAUGGACUUGGAGGAGAAAGUGGCCAUGGCCGAAUCCACAUCUGUCAAGCUUGAGGGUGAGUUGGGUGAUCUGAAGUCUGACCUCCAAGCCACCCAGAGUGAGUAGGAUACUUUGAAGACAGCUCUUGAGGGAGAAAUCAAAUCUCUGAAUGAGCUGUUGGCCGAGGCGAAAGGUAAAUCCGCUGAUGUGGAUGAUCGGCUGGAUGCAGAGUAUAACUCUGGGGUCAGUUUCUGCUACAAGUGCAUCAUGUUUGUGCUGAAGGAAGAAUAUCCAAAACUUAACAUGAGCAAUCUUGAAGCUGGAGUGCAGAAAUAUAUGGCCGAGGUUGACCAGGGGGACAAGGAAUAUGGUGACCAGGAUUAGGUGGAGGCUUCCUUAGGAGGGGUGCAGGUGGAAGAAUCAGGUGAUCGUGAUCCAGAGGUAGGUCGAGGGUCAAUGCCUCUUUCUUCCGAUGUUGCUGAUCCUCCUCUUCCGGAGAUUGUUGAUCCUUCAACUACUGAAGCUGCUGAACCUCGUAGCCUUUAGACUUAUUUUUGUAUAAAUCCCGAACUUUCAUUUGUUGGCCAUUAUUUGAACGUUUAUAAAUUUUUGGACGCUUUCUAUUAGUCUUCUUGUCUGGUUUUUGUUCAUGGGUUGUUUCUAUAAAUUAACUUGACAAUUUAUUUGACUUUGCCUGCUGGUUCUUUGGUGGACCGAGCAGGAAUAGGUAUUCGCUGGCCUUAGUAGAAUUUCAUAAAAUUGCCUGCUGGUCUUUCGUUGACCGAGCAGGAACAUCACUGACUUGCCUUAGUAGAAUUUCAUAAAAUUGUCUGCUGGUCUUUCGUUGACCGAGCAGGAACAUGCACUUACUUGCCUUAGUGAAAGUUUCGUAAAAUUGCCUGCUGGUCUUUCGUUGACCGAGCAGGACAGACACUGACUUGCCUUAGUAGAAUUUCAUAAAAUUGUCUGCUGGUCUUUCGUUGACCGAGCAGGAACAGGCACUUACUUGCCUUAGUGAAAGUUUCGUAAAAUUGCCUGCUGGUCUUUCGUUGACCGAGCAGGACAGACACUGACUUGCCUUAGUAGAAUUUCAUAAAAUUGUCUGCUGGUCUUUCGUUGACCGAGCAGGAACAGGCACUUACUUGCCUUAGUGAAAGUUUCGUAAAAUUACCUGCUGGUCUUUCGUUGACCGAGCAGGAACAGACACUUACUUGCCUUAGUGAAAAUUUCGUAAAAUUGUCUGUUGGUCUUUUGUUGACCGAGCAGGAACAGGCACCGACUUGCCUUAGUAGAAUUUCAUAAAAUUGCCUGCUGAUCUUUCGUUGACCGAGCAGGAACAUGCACUUACUUGCCUUAGUGAAAGUUUCGUAAAAUUGCCUGCUGGUCUUUCGUUGACCGAGCAGGAACAGACACUUACUUGCCUUAGUGAAAAUUUCGUAAAAUUGUCUGUUGGUCUUUUGUUGACCGAGCAGGAACAGGCACCGACUUGCCUUAGUAGAAUUUCAUAAAAUUGCCUGCUGAUCUUUCGUUGACCGAGCAGGAACAUGCACUUACUUGCCUUAGUGAAAAUUUAAUGGGCUUGCUAACAGGGGGAUUUUAUGCUGAAUUCAUCUUUAUUGAAAUUUGAAUGCAUUACAGAAGUGCAGAAUAUAUGCAUGUGCAACAAGUCAUCAUGCAUUUAAUAUAAAUAACUUGUCAAAAUGAAGAUUUAGUAGAACACUUUGCUUACUGGAAGUACUUCUUCAAGUGCUCAGCGAUCUACGACCUCUUCACGUCUCGUCCAUCUGGGUACGCUAGCUUGUAAGCUCCUGGUACAGUCGCUCGUAUCACCUUGUACGGGCCUUCCUAUUUCGGGCCGAGCGCGCCAUGGUUAGGAUCCCUAGUGUUUUGGUUCACCUUCCUAAGUACCCAAUCCCCUGCUCGGAACUGCCUCACGCGUACGUUCUUGUUGUAAUAACGCAUGACCCUUUGUUGACACUGGGCCACUUUCUGCGAUGCCCCUUCCCUUUUCUCUUCCAGCAGGUCCAGGCUCAAGCAGAUCUGCUCGUCGUUUUGUUCCUCAUUGAAGUAUUCCGUCCGAUGUGUCCCCACUCCAAUUUCUGCUGGGACUACCGCCUCAUGACCAAAAGCUAAAGUAAACGGGGUUUCCCCUGUGGCGGUUUUGUGAGUUGUCCGGUAAGCCCACAAUACUCCUGGCAACUCGUCGACCCAAGCUCUAUUCUUCUCUCCCAGCCUAGUUUUCAGGAGUUUCUUUAUUACUUAUUGGCUGCUUCCACUUGUCCGUUUGCCUGGGGGUGUGCGGAGGUGCAGAACUUCAGGUCCACCCCCAAGUUUUGGCAAAAUUCUCUGAAGCUGUUGUUGUCAAAUUGCCUCCCAUUGUCUGUAAUGAUGGCAUAGGGGAUCCCGUAUCUGCAGAAGAUAUUCUUCCAAAUAAAAUCAGUCGUCUUUCUCUCCGUGAUUUGGCUGAGGACUCCCACUUCUACCCACUUGGUGAAGUAGUCUAUUGCCACAAUUGCAUGUGUUGCCGCCCCUUGGCCCUUAGGUAAUGGACCAAUCAGAUCGAUUCCCCAUUGGGCAAAAGGUCAUGGGGAUGUCAUAGUGGUCAGCUUUUCUGGGGGUUGUACAGGAACCUCUGAGAAGUUUUGGCAGACUUUACAGUUCUUUGCCAUCCUUUUCGCAUCCUGGUGCAUGGUUGGCCAAAAGUAUCCUUGCCGGAGUGCCUUGAAGGCUAAAGUUCUCGCUCCUGAGUGAUUGCCACAUAUUCCUUCAUGAAUCUUCCUCAGUACAUAAUCUGCUUUCUCGUCAUCCAAAUAUCUCAAAAGGGGCAAGGUGAAUCCUCGGCGGUAGAGCACCUUAUCGAGUAGCGUGUACCUUGCUGCUCGGCAUUUUAACUUCUUUGCUUGCCUCUUGUCCUCCGGUAGAAUGCCAUCGCGGAUGUAUGAGAAAAUCGGGUCCAUCCAGGAUUUCUCGCUGCUUAUUCUCAUUACCUCUACUUCCUCCCCUAUGCUUGGCGAGGUCCUUACCUUUAGUGGGACUAACUUAGGUAACUUUGGAUCUACAAUAGCAGCCAUUCUGGCCAACAUAUCUGCAUGGUAAUUCUCAUUCUGGGGUAUCUGCUUCACCUCUACCUCUUGGAAAAGCCCAAUCAUCUGCUUUGCCUUCUUCAAAUAAAACUCCAUCUUAUCUUCCCUUACUUUGAACUGAUCACUGAGUUGAUUGCAGACUAAUUGGGAAUCUGCUCGGAUUUCUACCCUUUCUGCUCUCAGUGCGUGUGCAAGUCCAAGCCCAGUGAUAAAGGCUUCAUAUUCAGCUUGGUUGUUUGUGAGCUGAAAUUCAAAUUUCACUGCAUACGUUAUUUCAAUCCCUUCUGGGCUUCGUAUUACAAUUCCUGCUCCGGACCCUUGUUCACUACAUGACCCGUCAACCAUUACCAGCCACACCCCUUUUGGUUUCUCCUGCUCUAUUGGUUGUUCCUCCCGAAUUUCUUCCCCUGGUUCAGCACGGUCAACCAUAAAAUCGGCCAGGGCUUGGGCUUUGAUUGCUCCUCGGGGCCUGUAGGAUAGGUCAAAUUCGCUCAGUUCAACGGACCAUUUUACUAACCGACCAGACGCAUCUGGUUUUUGGAGCAUUUACCGAAGGGGCUGGUCAGUCAUCACAACUAUCGGGUGGGCCUGAAAAUAUGGUCGGAGCUUACGUGCUGCCGUUAUCAGAGCCAGCGCCCAUUUCUCCAUCAGUGGAUACCUGGUUUCUGCGUCUACCAGGGCCUUGCUUAUGUAGUAUACCGGGUGUUGCUUUCCUUCUUCUUUUCUGACUAAUACCGAGCUGGUAGCCCAUUUAGAGAUUGCCAAGUACAAAAACAGCUGGUCGCCUUCUCUCGGAGUUGAUAGUAAUGGGGCGCUGGCUAGAUAUUCCUUCAGCUAUCCAAAUGCCUCAUCGCAUUCUGAUGUCCACUUCAUCUUUCUCCCUUUCUUUAUGGUUUGGAAGAAAUGGUGGCACUUAUCAGUGGCUCGCGAGAUGAAUCGGUUCAUUGCUACCAAUUUUCCUGUAAGGCUCUGCACCUCCUUAACUGUUCGUGGGGACCUCAUUUCUGUCACUGCCCGUAUUUGUUUCGGGUUGGCCUCGAUCCCUCGGUGGCUCACCAGGUAUCCCAAGAAUUUGCCUAAGCUGACCCCGAAUGCAUAUUUGUCUGGAUUCAGCUUCAUCUCAUACUUCCUUAGCAAUUCAAAGGUCUCUUCCAAGUGCUUCACAUGAUCCCUCGGUUCUUUAGACUUUGUGAUCAUAUCGUCAACAUAUACCUCCAUAGUGUGACCAAUCAAUGGUUUGAAGAUCUUGUUAACCAGCCUUUGGUAGGUAGCUCACGCAUUUUUUAGGCCGAAAGGCAUUACCCUGUAGCAAAACAAACCCAUGUUAGUUAUAAAGGUGGUGUUUUCCUCAUCCUGCUCGUCCAUGGGUAUCUGGUUGUAUCCGAAAAAGGCAUCCAUGAAACUGAGCAGGCUGUGACCCGCUGUUGAGUCCACCAAUUGAUCUAUUUUUGGUAGGGGAAAAUUGUCCUUCGGGCAUGUCUUAUUGAGGUCCGUGAAAUCCACACACAUCCUUCAUUUCCCGUUGGCCUUCUUUACCAGUACUACGUUGGAAAUCCACUCCGGGUAUUUAGCUUCCCUUAUAAAUCCUGCUUUCAGCAGCUUUUCCACCUCGUCAUUUAAGGCCUCGUACCUUUCCUAGUUAAAGCACCUCCUUUUCUGCCUUAUCGGUCUUGCUCCUUUCCUGAUCGCUAACUUGUGGCAGGCUACCCUGCGAUCAAUUCCUGGCAUAUCCUCAUGAGACCAGGCAAAUAUGUCUGCAUGGGAUUGUAGACACUUCACUAGCUCGCCUUUUAUUGUCUCACCCAAUCUUAGUCACUCUGCUCGGGUUACUCUUACUCACAAAGACCUCCUCCAGAUUCUCAACAGGUUCCUGACGACCCUUUUUAGAAUUUUUUCGGUUAUCUAGAGAGGUAACUUGCAGAGUCUCCUUGGCCGCUGUAGCAUAGCAGUUCCUUGUCAUUCUCUGGUCACCUUUUACUACGCCAACAACUUCAUUUACUCUGUACUUCAACGCCAGAUAAUGCGUGGAUAUAACGCAUUGGCUUAUCCUCAUGAACGGUCUCCCCAGUAUCAUCUGGUAAGGGCUUCUUUCUUCUACCACGACAAAGUCCAACAUCAUCGUUCUAUCAAACGGCUUUGACCCCACAAUAAUCGGGAGUUCGAUGAUCCCCAUGGGAGCUAAUCGUCCCCCUCCAAAUCCCUUUAAGGAUGUAUUCGUCCGUUCCAGCUUCAAAUCUGAAAUUCCCAUAUCAUCUAGGGUCGACUUAAACAGAAUGUCAACCGAGCUGCCUGUGUCCACUAGUAUUCGCAGCAAUUAUGUACUAGCCACCAUUGCCUUAAUCACCAGUGCGUCCUCAUGAGGAUAUAAAAUACCAUCUUCGUCGUCCUCUGUCCACAUGAUGAGAACUUGCUGCACUUUUACCCUCUUGGCUGCUGGCAAAUUGAAAAGCACCUCUUUGCCGGUCAUGGCGUAUCUCUCAUAGUUCUUCUGUGCCCUGUUCGAAUCCCCGGCCAAUGUUGGCCCUCCUGCUAUCACAUGAAUAGUCAGUUGUUCACGUUCCAGGCCCCUCUCAACUCCUUCAUCCCUCGUGUACUGUGCCUCAAUGACGGGGGACACUCCAUCUACAUACUCAUCCAAGUACCGGUUCCUCACCAAGUCCUCCACCUGAAUCUUUAGGUCACGACAUUGGCUGAUAGUGUGACCGUGAGUGUCGUGGAAUUUGCAGAACUUGCUCUUAUCACGUCGGUGAGCAGAUUUUGUUAUAGGGGCCGGAAGAUAUAGCAGGCCUCGUCCUUCGAUCCUCUCAUACAAUUCCUCCAUGGAGAUUUUUAACGAGGUGUACUGUCUAUACGCCAAGCUCUGGUCAACCAGUUGAACUGCUCAACUAUCAUGGAUAUCAGCCUGGGCUGGUAUCGUCGGUAGCUGAUCUGGUCGUCCAGCCCUGGAGUUAGUUGUAUGUAGUGUUCUAGGAGUGUUGUGAUAAAGGUGGGCAGCCAUCUGUCUGAAUUCUCGUUGCCACUCCGGGAAUGGAGGGCGCGGAGGUUGAGCCCGGUUGUGUCGGAAUUGUUGUGGUCUCUAAGCUAUGGGGUAAGGGUGAGAUCGAGCUGAUAUUCAACCCAUUACUGAGGAUUCCCCAGCUCGCUUUCCCGAUCCACUCCCGUUCGGGGCUCUCCGUUCCUUUCGUCUCAGCUCUUCCAGCUGUUCACUUUUUAUCCUUGCCGACUUCUCCUCUUCGAUUUCUAUAUCUCACCUCGCCUGUUCAUACCUCGCCGGGUAAUUCUACAUUAGGGGGCUUCUUAAGUUGUACCACAAUCGGCCUAUUCUUACACCUUUUAAUCCCCUCAACGCCUGCGGGUGAUUAAAAGCUCCCAGAUCCAGCACGGCUCGGUGAUAUCGUUUUACAAAAUCCCGAAGGGAUUCAUGUUCCUCAUGUUUCAUCCCCAUCAGUUCCAUUAUGUCGUCCUCUGGUGCAACUGCUCCUCAGAACUGUUCGGCCAACUAUUGGCACAUCUGCUCGUACCUUUUUAUACUUUCUCGGGGCAUCUUGCGGUACCAUUCUCGGGCUCGUCCCUCUAGUGUCAACGGGAACACCCUGCACCUCUGAGCUGGUGUCAGCCCCUGCACACCCGUCAUGUCGUUGAGACGUUCAAUAUGCACCAGCGGGUCACUUCGCCGGAGUAUUUGAGGUCGGGGAAGCGAAAAUCUCUUGGGAUUACAGUACCCAUGAUCUCAGUUGAUAACGGAGACUCUUCGUCUAACAUUAUCCUCCAGCUCGGGGGCUUUCUCUUACCCCUGUAUCUCCUCCAUCACCUGUGCCAAUCUGCGCACCUCUCCCUCCAAUUCUACAGCACGGUCAGGAUCACGUGCAGCUAUCUGAUCUUGUUCCUGCUCAACAUUCUGCAACCGCUGUCUGAGUUCUCCUUCAUCAACAUUGGCCCCUCGGCCAUUAAUUUCCAGUACCCGUCUGGGGCGAGGUUGGUACCUCCCUUCAUCCACGCGUUCUCCUAGAACCCGACCAGUACUUUUGUGGGGAUGCACCCCAUUAGGUUGGUCCGCCGACGGAGGAAUUUCCUCGACUCUACGCCUCCGGAGGGUGGGUUCUGCUUCAACUUCAUCUCUCCCCAAGGGGGUUUCACAAUCCCUUCUCCGCUCAUCCCUCAGCUCAUACAGUAUGGUCGUGAGAGUCUCCAUUUGUUUCUCUAUCCGCUCCAGUCGGUCUUGCAUCAUCCUCUCUCGAGCUUCAUUCGUAAUUUCCCGGAGAGUGAUUGUCUCAACAGUUUCAUUGUCAUCCCUCAGUGCAUCCUUCCUUAACACAUCCAUAUCUAACCGUUCGUUGCUUCUCUGGUAAUUACUAAUUUGGUGGUAGCUUUUUAUUCAGCUCCCCACAUACGGCGCCAAAAUGUUGAUGCUGAAAUCUGCUCGCCCUUCUCCCGACCAGAUCUUUGCACUAACGUUUAUGUAUUCAAUAGUGAGAAUGUCAAUUUCUUCUUGCUUCAACGAUCACUCUAGUCACUGAAGUUGGAAUUAUCCUGCCUUCUCCCACUAAGCCUGCGUUCACAAAAGUGGAUCAGAGACGCCGGUGGUUUUACCGGCGUAAACCCUCUGAUGCCUAAGUUAGCACAAGGUGUUUAUGGGAAAACGGUGCAAUUUAGAUUUGAUAAGUUAAUUAUUAUUGGCUCACAAUUUGUAUUAAAAAUGGUCUGGUUUCAAUUUGGCAGAGCUUUCCCUUCUCUCAAUUUUUCUGUCUCAUUUCUUCAUGGGUUUUUUUCUCUUUUAUAGCCGCUGUCCCCCGUUUCCGUUUACCCUUCAUCCCUCCUUUAUCUCGGGUAGUGGGAGCCCCCCAUGGGACUCCAACUGCUACAUUGUGGGUAAACGUGGGGCACCGUGUCUCUCUCGACGGUUCUGAGCCUAGCGCAACCGUCGUGAUUUCGUGAGAUCGUGUUCCCGCUCUUUGGGGAAUGGGUAUCUGCUUGGUAUUUGUCUCUGGUCGGUACAUUCCUCUGGCUGAUAUUCAUCUCUGGUUGGCCCUUGUUCCCAGAAAACUCAUUAUCAGUGUUCUGCUCGUACCAUUUGGCUGAGGUGAUCCAUGCUGGGGUGGAAAUGAUGGCAUGCCUGAGCUGGUGCUCUUAUCUACUUAACAAAUUCCAUUUUCAAAUUAAUUGAUGGCAUCUGGAUUGAGGAAACGGGAAAUGAAUUCGUAAUGUUUUAAACAUUAUACACCUGGCAGAGUUCAUCACUCUUUAAAAGAGUCUUGGUCUUAGACAAUUGCAGGAAGUCAGCAGCCUCGUUUUCUCGCCCGUCUUGAUUCGGAGCCAUUACUUGGUGUUUAUUUGUACUGGACAGAGUACUUACACUACCAAAUUAGUAUGUCCAUAGUACUUACACUACCAAUGUAGUAUACUAUAUAUGGUAUAUAGCGACUAAGCCAGCCUUCUCGACUUUCCUUCUCCACCACAAAGUCUACCAACCACGUACUGAUUAUUUUAUCCACACAAUCUUGGCCACAAUAAGAACUUGAAAAUGAACUCCAAUAUAAUGUUUUCCAAUAAUUUCUCUCCACAUGUCCAAUUUGAUUUUGAUAUUGUGAUGGAGCAGUUCUAUUUUUGACUAUUAAAUAAUUCUCAUAUUUGUAGGAUUAAAAGUCUAUAAUAUCUUUAUUAUUUUAAUUAUAAAAAUUAUUUAAGAAUUAUACUAUCCUAGUGACGAUGUUAUAUUACAUUGACAUACUUUCUUUUUCAAUUAAUUUUUUUUUAAAAAUAAAUUAAAAUAAUAAUAAUAUUUUAGACCCCUAAUGUUUUCAAUCUAUUCAAUAAAAAAGCCGCAUUCAUGAGUGCUCUUUGUGGUCAUUGUGUUUUUGCCUUUGUCACGAUCUCCAAGAAUCACUUCCUGUUAAUAAACAAUAAUUUUUUUUUGGAUUGUUCGGUUUAUAUUGAUCAAGAGGUCAACGUGCUUCUUUUGAGUACGCGGUCCACCGACUUUUCCCCGAUAAAUGUCGAUAAUUUUUAAAUGCGUUUGAUGAUGAUAUUAUUUAAAAAAAAAAAAUUGUAAAAGUAUCACUUAGAAAAUUUGGUAAAUAUCUCUCCGAAUCAAAACUGAAAAGAUGCCUAAAAUAUGAUUUUUUUGUAAAAAAAAAUCAGAAAUUGAAGCAAAUGGUGGUUAAGUAGAUUCAAAUUAACAGUUAGAAUGAGUUCAGGUUCAGUUUAAAGAUCCAUUUAAUUUUCUUGAUUGCAUAUGAAUAAUAAAUAAUAAAAUUAAAGCAUGUAGAUAAUAAAACAUAUAUCACACACUAAAUUAUAAAAAAAUAAAUGUAAAAUAUUUUAUUAACCACUCAAAUUUAAAUUUUAAAAAAUAAAAAAUUUAAACUUUAUCAACCUUACGGUUCAUAAAUUAUAUAUAAACUUCGAUUGACAGCUUAUCUAAUGAUAAAAUUUAGUAGUUUAUUUUUAAAAUUUAGAACAAUGCAGUUUUCUAAACAACUGCUUACUCAUGGAGCAGAGAUCAAAGAUAAUUUUGCAAAAUACAACGGAUAAAAUGACGAUCAACUAAUGCGACGGCAUAAUGUAACCCCAUCAGCAAUAGAGAGUUGGCAAAUCUCGAUCCUUGGAUCCAGAGCCACAGCCUUGUUGAAUUCCAUCAUAAAGUCCCUGAAAUAUCUGAGUCUCUCAUCCAUUAUUGAAUCCGGUGGCACAGCUACAGAUCCACACCACAGCGUGUUGUCGUAGCCAAUCACUCCCCCAACCUUCACCAGUUCAAUAAUCCUCUUGUGGUAGUUGAUGUUGUUAUUCUUGUCAGCAUCAACAAAGAUAAAGUCAAAUGUCCCAUGAUAUUUUUCCUGCGAAAUUCAAAAAUUAAUUUUGAGCUUUACAAAUUAAUUAGAGCUCUAAUCUUCUAUAUACUAAACAAUUUUUUGUUUAUUAUUAUUACUAUUAUUUUUGGGAGCAAUUUUUUUGCUUACGUCUUGGAUCAUUUGAUCAAGAAGAGGAAGAGCAGGGCCCUCUCUGAAGUCAAUCUUAUGAGCAACACCAGCCUUUUCAAUUAUGGGGAGACCGAGUUCGUAGUAUUCUCUAUUGAUGUCCAUGGCCAAUAUCUGUAACAGUAUUCAAUAUUAAGACCAGUUUAAUUAAUAUUUAUAUCGAAGUCAAGGUCUGAUUCCAAUGGGAAGAGCUAUCUUCCGAAGGCUCAAGUCCCAAGUUCAAUAAACGCGUAAGUUAAUUAAAAAAGAAAAAAAAAAUCCUAUUCAUCCACUGUACCUUGCCGUCGUCGGGAAUAGCAAGGGCAGUGUAUAGGAGAGAGUAACCAGUGUAAACACCAAUUUCCAUGGUAUUCUUGGCGUUGAUAAGCUUGAGUAGCAUGCUCAGGAAUUGUGCUUCAUCAGGUGUGCUCAACAUGUGGUUCCUGCGCAUUCCAUUAAUAUGUUGAGAAAAAUAUACAAAUUAGAAAAAGAACAGCUGACAAGAAAUCAUCAAAAUACAAAUAAUCAAGAAUUUUAAUCAGAAAGCAGAAUCUCACCAGACCUGUCCUAUAUAUUAAUUACGUAAUUAACGAGAAGCUCACCGUGGAUGCUUUUUUGUCAACUCGCGGAGCUCCUUCAAACAUUCAUGCUCUCUUGGAUAUACACUAGUUUCGAGUAUAUACUGCAAGGACAUUAAGAAUUAAUUCCAUUUUCAAUUAAUUGACGACAUCUGGAUUGAGGAAACAGGAAAUGAAUUUGUAAUGUUUUAAAGAUUAUACACCUGGUACAGCUCAUCACUCUGCAAAAGAUUCUUGGUCUUGGAUAAUUGCAGCAAGUCAGCAGCCUUGUUUUCUUGCCCUUCUUGAUUCGCAGCCAUUACUUGGUGUUUAUUUGUAAUGGAUAGAGUACUUACACUACCAAUUUAUUAUGUCCAUAGUAGUAUAUAUUGUAUGUAGCCACUAAGCCAGCCCUCUCGACUUUCCUUCUGCACCACAAAGUCUACCCCCCACAAACUGAUUUUUUUAUCCACACAAUCUUGGCCACAAUAAAAACUUCUUUGAAAAUGAACUCCCAUAUAAUGUUUUCCAAUAAUUUCUCUCCACAUGUCCAAUUUGAUUUUGAUAUUGUGAUGGGGUAGUUCUAUUUUUUACUAUUAAAUGAGGAUUAAAAGUCUAUAUUAACUGUGGACGUAAGAUUUUUUUUUUUUUCAAUGGCAGAAGGGCCAUGGCACCUGAGUCAAAAGCACUGUAUUCUUUGCACUCUUCUGAAAUUCAUAUCAUCUAAGUCAUGGUUGUUUAAUCCGGUUAGCAAACUAAUUCUGCACUCAUUAAACCUUAUCACUGUUUAUUUUUCUAGCUUAAUUACUUAUUCCUUGUGAUAAUAACUUAUUGUCGUUUGAUGGACACAAAUCACCCUCAGUUCAAUGUUAUCUGUUUACGGAUAAGUAUAUAAAAAAUCAACAAAGAACAUAUCACUUUUUUGUCUCUUUUUUUCAUUUUUUAGAAAAGGAAAAUUCAAAGGUGAUGUACCAAUUUUUUUCUUUCUUAUUUGAGUAUCAAAGUUAAUUGUGUGCGUUCCUGUCAAAAUCUGAAGACAAAAGAUGCUUCAUGCCACCAAAAAAAGAUGCUUCAUGUAUGAUAAGACUUCACCACCUUCAUGGGCCAGGUGAUAAGACCUAAAAUUUGUCUUGCAGCCCACCUGCUCGACAAAUGAUAUGAUAUUGGGAUCAUUUUGGGUUGGUCUUCAGUCAUUCAUUCCCCUCUUUACUAUAUACUUAUGCGUAAACAGAUAGCAUUGAACUGAGGGUGAUUUGCGUCCAUCAAACGACAAUAAGUUAUUAUCACAAGGAAUAAGUAAUUAAGCUAGAAAAGCAAACAGUGAUAAGGUUUAAUGAGUGCAGAAUUAGUUUGCUAACCGGAUUAAACAACCAUGACUUAGAUGAUAUGAAUUUCAGAAGAGUGCAAAGAAUACAGUGCUUUUAUGAUGUUGUUUUGAAAGCGAAUUUCUUUUAGAAGACAAUGAAAAUAUUUUUGUACACAAAUGUAAUUUUGAUCAAGGAUAAUUUAAUAAUAAUAUUUUCCAUGAUUCAAUCGGUAUGAAAAGAGUACAUUUAAGAUAACCUCAUUCAAAAAAAAAAAAAAAGUCUCAACACCAAUUUAUUUAUGAAAAUUAUGUGCCAAAUUUAAGAAGAAAGAUAUUACUCAACACACCUUUCCGAAUACUAAAAAAAAUCCUCAAUUCGAUCCUUUUGUUAGAUUAAUGAUUAAUUUUAUCUUCAGUCGCUUAGUAAAACGACAAAAGAAUAUCAUAAAUGUCCAGAAUUAAUUCAUUGCUGCCUUUUUCUUACAUACAUGAUCUAGUUUAAUUUUGCAAGUAAAAAAUUUCUUUUUUAUAUUUACAUGGUUUCAUUUAGUUAAGUUAGUUGUUGAAAAUUAAUUUAUAAUUGGGUAAACUUCAAGAUGCAGAUCAAUGGAAUUAAGAAAAAAAAAGUUAAUUAGGGAUUUAUUAUAUAUACUUAACUACAUUACGAAUGAGUUUAAUGAAUGGGUGUGUCAAAUGAAAUGGGUCGAAUCAAGCUUUGCUCAAGGCCUUUUUUUGAAAAAAAAAAAAAAAAUUUGAAAAAAUUUAAUUUAAUAGUUAAAAAAAUAAAUGUUUAAAUGUUUUUAGCGGCCAUUUGGAGUGGGCCUCUAGAUUUUAGUUUUAAUGUAAAUUUAAUGGCUGCAAAUAGAAUUAGGAAAAAUAUUUCAUUUUGGAAUUAUCACAAUUCACAAGGAGUAAUUUAUAAUUACUGAAAACUAAUUUAUAAUUGAGUAAAUUUCAAGAUGCAGAUCAAUGGAAUUAAGAAAAAAAAAGUUAGUUGGGGAUUUAUCGUAUAUACUUAAUUAUAUUGUUAUGAGUGGGUGUGUCAAAUGGGUGGAAUCGAGCUUUUUUCAAGGCCUUUAAAAAAAUUGAAAAAAAUUAAUUUAAUAGUUAGAAAAGAUAAAAAAAAAAAAAAAAAAGGUCAUCCAGAGUUUAGUUUUAAUGGCUGCAAAUAGAAUUAGGAAAAAAAAUUUCAUUUUAGAAUUAAAGUUCAGGAUGGGUUUACAUCAUCGACUUUUACAACAUUAAAAACUGAUUCACGAUACUAUAAAUCCAUGACGAAUUUUAAACCCAAAUAUAAUAAACAGUCACAAAAUUAGAUAGUCAAAAUAUUUUUGAUCGUAACAUUUUGCCUGACUUCAACUCAAUCAUUUUGAUUGUGCAGAGGAUUUGAUAUAAUUAACUUGCAUUUCGUACUACAGAAUUUGAUCAAAAGGUAAUUAUUCACCGACCACCUAUUUUUUUUAAUUUUUUUUAAAUAUUUAAAUAUUUUUCUUUUUUUUUUGGGCAACACUCCACUUGAAGUUAACAUUUUUUUUUAUUGGUCCACUCUCGUUAUAACAUUGUUAGAACUUUGCUGAUAUCAUGAGGGUAAGAUUGUCAUUUCACAACGACAUUAUUUGAAAAUAGAGGAUGACAGGUACAAAAUAAUAUAAUUUUAAAUAGAGUUAAAAAAAUAAAAAUUAUGUAUUUUUUAAAAAAUAUAAAAAAAUAAGAGGUCAGUGGAUAAUUGUCCUUAUCAAAAUCAUUGUAUGAUGAAUGAUAUGCACGAUCAAUUUGUGAUGUGAUCGGUUGCCCCUCUGUCAAGAUCCUGGGCGGUUAAGGCGUCACUCUUCAUUAUCUUGAUUUCCUCUCUUCUGGACAACACAGUUGAUCCAAUGCCAUAUCCUCACUAUGACGUCUAUUAAGAUAAACUUAGUUUCCAUAUCACUGCUUAGUUGCACUACAAAAACUCAUGAGUUGUAUCCUCCUCGUUGGAUAUUUGUACCAUUUGUAUUUUAUUGAGAACAACUUUAAAAAUAAAGAAGUAUCAUUAAUUUCUUCAUAUUCGUUCUAAGCUCCGGAUUAAAUUACAUAUAAUAUAACAUACAGCAAAUCUAUAAGUUGUGGUUUAUGAUAACUCAAUUAAUUUACAUGCUCUUUUAUUAAAUUCAUAAGUAGCUCAAGAGCCCAUAAAAUUAGCUCUAUGGGCCACAAAUUUAAAACUUAUAAAGGCCCAUAAUUGAAGUGCAUGAUUCCUCAAAUUUAAGAGGCCCACCGUUCUAUUCUUUUAACCUUGUAAAUAUAAAUAAAAUAAGAGUGGACCUAUUAGCACCCCUACAUUAUUUUUACAAAACUCCACUUUAAAUAAAAUUACAAUUAAAAACAAUUGAAAAUUAAACACAUAUAUAUAUAUAUAUAUUUCCAGAAAAUUACUUAAUUCAUAAUCAAUCCUUUUCAAAAAAAAAAAAAAAAAAAUCUAUAUGUUACUUCCUAUCUAACUAAAAUAAUUUGUACAAAUUUAGAAUAAUCUAUUGUUCUCUUUUGAUUUCUUAUUGAUUAAAUAUUUUUAUACUUAAAAUUGCUUUGAAAUUAUAAUUUGAAAUAUGUGUUAUUUCAGCUAAUGAUUAACACUAAAAAACUUAUCACUCAUGUAACUUUUUAAUUUGUGUGUAGAGUAAUAAUAAAAUUGAAAAUAAUUAAAAAAAAUAGGAUAAUAAUACUUUGAGUUUUAACAAUAAAACAAAUCAAAUGAAAAUUGAGAGGUGUAUCUAAAAAAAGGGGUAUUUUCGAAAAUAAAAUAAAUAUAACUAAAAAAGGGGUUUUAUGAAGAGAUCAGAGGGGUGCCAAUAGUCCAACUCAUAAAAUAAGGAGACUCAAUUGCCCAAUACUUUUUACGGGUUAUUUAUAGCCAUUUUGUCUUACCAUCCAUGAUUGCUAUAAGUAACGAUAAUGAGUAAAAUUAAGAAGACUGGGAAGAAGAAAACCAGUGUUGUCAUUAUUAUUGCCAUUCGCAUUGUCAAAUGCCACCAUAGUGAAUUGUUCAUUCUGGAUUAAAUUCUUGUGUCCGCCAUUAUAUCUAAUGGAAAGGAGAUAAUUUCUCUAAAUUUUAGCCGAAAUACAGAAUGUUCUCUAUUUUUUAAAUUACAACUUAGAUACUCAAAGAAAUUCUCGUAUUUUAUGAUAAAAAUUUAUCAACAAACUGCGAAAUUAGAAUUAAAAAAAAAAAAAAAGCAUGCUGUUUAGUUAGAUAUGCAUAAUUGUUUUAUCUUGAAAAUUUAUAGCUUGAUUUGAGUUACCACCACCAAACUGUUUUCCAUCAGAACCAUUUCCAUUUGGAUUCCUAAAUUAUCUUCCACCAUAAUAAUUUCCAUUGCCACUGACAUUGAAGUUAGAUUGCCAAUACCUUCUCUGAUUUUCUUUGCGAUAGGCAAAAUUUGCUUGAUAAUCCAUGCGACUGAUAGAGUGUUGAUACUCAAUCGUAUUUUCAUGACUCAACAACAUGCCAUAUGCAUCAGAGAGAGUUGUGUUUUCAGACCUUACAUUGAUGGUAGUAAUAAUAGAAUCAUAUUCAGAUCCAAGACUAGCAAGCAAACAUAACACAAAAUCAUCAUCACUCGUAUUGUUUCCAGCAGCUCUCAAAGCAUCCAUAGUGGUUUUCAUCUUAGUGUAGUACUCAUGAAAGUUCAUUGAUCCUUUUCUAAUAGUUUGAAUCUGAGCUCUCAAAUAAAGAACUCUAGAUCUAGAUCUGGUGCCAAAUUGAGUAGAGAGGAUCUGCCACACAUCCAGGGAUGACUUAGCUCCAAUGACAGCACUCAGAACUUGUUCCCUUAGAGUUGAAAGUAACCAGCACAGCAAUUGUUGAUCAUUCUUUCUCCGGAUCUGAAAUUGUGGAUUUGGUGAUUAACAACUGUUUGAUCAUUGUCGACAUAGAUUACAACUCGAUUUGGAGGACUCUUUGUGUUGUCAAUCAAAUCUUCAAGUUCAUUGGCAUUGAUUAUUGCUAUGGCUUGAGAUUGCCACAAUAAGUAGUUGUUAUUAGUGAGCUUGAUAGGUGUGAUGAAGACCAAAGAGCUAAGAAUAGAGAAGCUGAUAUUUGAGGUUGAAGUUGAACUUAUGGUUGAGCUUGAUGCUUCAUUACUGUUAGCUUGGUUUUCAUUACUCCCCAUUGUUGUUUCAAGGCUCUAAUACCAUGAAGGAAUUUAGAGAUCACAUGGAGAAGAGAAUUUGCAAUUGUAUUUGACUAUUUUUCAUACCGAAUCACUUGUAUAAAUAGUACUUAUAUUAGUUGGUCAGAUUUUCUCAACUCAUCACUCAGCUAACAUUUACAGUUGUACCAAAAAAUAACAAACUCAAAACUAAUGAAUAUUCUACAACUAAUCUUGACCGUUCUUUAAUAACUAACUAAACUCAUCACACAACUGCAAAGGAAUCUCACUAUCUCAGCAUAACUAUUUUGCCAUCUAGAACCUUCUUGCUCUGCACAUGCAGCUUCCAAUACAAAUCCUAUGUGAGCUGCUGGCUUGGUUAUCAAAUGAGCUCCUACAUGAUUUGAUUCAACAACAAUCAUGAGGAUGAUUUAGUCUAGACCAAAUCUCUUUUAGGAACAUAUAUUGAAUUUAAUUUGGAAAUAAAUAUUAUUUGUGGUCGGGGUAAAUCUAAAAUUUGGAAAAAAAAAUAGUAUCAAUAUAUCCAAAUAAAAAGAUUUUUAUAGGCUCAAAUGGAAACUUAAAGUAUGAGAGUAUCUGUUAUUCAUUAUCUUGCUUAAAUAGAGAUUUGCAAGGAUUAAAGUAAAUGAUCAGCUACAACACUGAGAAGUUAUAUUUGUUAAAGCGCGUAAUUUUCAAUUUUUUUUGGCAAAUUAACCACGUUGAGAUUCUCAAUUCUCUCUCUCUCUCUCUCUCUCAAUCUUUUAUAAUAUUUUAAUAUUCUUAAUUUCUUUCUCUUCAUGUAUUAUUUUUAAUUAAUUUUUAAAAUGUUACAAUAACAAAGGGAGAAAAACACUUUCGUUUUUAGAUUUUUUUUUUUUCAAACCACUUGGAUUUUUCCUUUCGUUGUAACAUUUUGCUAGACCUUUGAUUGCAUACAGAAUUUGAUAUUAGUAAUUAACUUGCACUAUGUGGUACAGGUUUUUGCAAAAUCUUUGUAUUAUUAUUUCUUUCCAAAAUAAUUCACUUCCAUGGAUACAGUAUUUAUUUUAUGGUAAAAUAGAAGAAAACUGAUAUAUAUGUUACUUUUGGCUAUGAUUCUACUUGAUUAUGCUAAUAGUAAAAUUCAUUUCCUUUUAGUUUACAUUUUAGAGUUCAUUAACAAAAAUGAAAAUCUAUGUCAGAUUUCUUUCCUUGUAGAACCUCUGUGAGAAUAACCUAAAGCGGCCUUUUAAACCCAUUUGAUUUCACUUUUCCUUCAGUACUUCAAUAGCAAAUUGUCUGGCUUAAUUUCCGUUUUUGCAUUUUGCAUGUCUUCUAUGUGCUAUGGUAAGAACUAACUAGUAUUUGUGUAAGCUGGAUGCUCAUAUUAAUUAAAUCUAGCACAAUACUGUUAUGAAAAAUACGGUCAAUAAAAUCUUUCAAACUUAUAUUUUGUAACCUAUGCUGCAGGAUCUAUCUGCUAUAUUAUACUUCUUGUGCCUUAUCUCGACAGCGUCAAUUCGCAUUAAUGCUGAUGAAUUUAACGUUCUGGAUUUUGGGGCAGCUGGAGAUGGCAAUGCAGACGAUUCAAUGGUAAAAGCUAAAAAAUUGUUUCUGCUAUGAUAUUUUGACGGGGUUAAUUAUCCAAAUUUGUCUCUUUUAGUUCUUAUGGUGCAGUCAAUUAUCCAAUAAGUGCCUUUUUUAAAAAAAAAUUACUCAAAAAUAUUCAUGUUGUACAAUUGUUUCCGUUAAAUCUAUUUAAUUAUCAUAUAUUAAACGAUAUGAUUUGAUAACUUUCUCGGACUUUAAGCAAUCCAAGAGGUAUCCUUGAUAGGAUUGGAUUUAUCAUCCAUCAACUAUGAAAGUAACAAUAUUAAUUGGUGUUUUAGAUAAUUUUUUAAAAUACAAGACUACUUGAAUAAUUGACUCAAAUCGUAGGGAGUAUAAGAGUUGUUUUAAAUGGGUGGUUAUACUCCAUCUCAUUUUCCGUAAAACUACCUCACCCUACUUAAUUUGUGAUUUUUCAUUUUCUGUUGAUUCAACCAAAAAAAAAAAAAAAUCUUUAAUUUUGAAGAGUCAUAUUUUUAUUUAUUCCUUUGGACAUUGAGUACUUAAUUUGUUAUUUUUCACUUUCUGUUAAUACAACCAAAAAAAACCUUUUUUUAUCAAAUUUUGAAGAAUCAUAAUUUUUGUUUAUCAGAGUCUCCUUUAAACAACUAGAUACUGACUGUAAUAAACAAAAAAACUGAUUUAAUAAUUUGUAAUUUGAAAUUGUAUAGGCUUUCAUAAAAGCAUGGAAUAACACAUGUAGUGCCACAGCAAAGUCACCUACGAUGGUUAUUCCAAAGGGAAAAACAUUCUUGGUGCGUCCUAUAACCUUCGCCGGCCCCUGCAAGUCAAGUGAUAUCACUAUUAUGGUAAGCAGAUUAAAGACAUAGAAAGCUAAAACUGAAACAUACUUGAAUUAAAUUACCCUAUAUUUAUGUCCAGCUUGGUGGAAUUAGUUAAUUGAUUAUACAUGAUGUGCACUCUUAAUUUGACACCAUAAAAUAUCGUUCGUAAACUAUGUUUUGCUUUUGUUAAAUACGUUGUUGUUUUUCAUGAUGAGAAGGGGAAAAAAAAAACACAAAGAAAACCCUUCAAUUCAAGUGAUUUUUGGUUAUUACUAAGAAUACAAUAACUUCUUUUCUUAAAAGUUAAUUUAAGUGAUGUAUCUUCAUCAAUCUAUUUUUUCCCCCAACAAAGCUAUCAGGUUCAAUCAUUGCACCGAACGGUCCUAAUGAAUGGAAGGAAGAUGAUAAAUCAAAAUGGUUCGAGAUUCAGGGAGUAGACAGUCUCCAAAUUGACGGCUCCGGUACGAUAGAUGGACGUGGGAAGGCCUGGUGGGACAUUUCUUGCAAGAUUAAUAAGAAAGAGGUAUACAUAGAAAUAUAAAUUGUUGUAUAAGGCCAAAUUUGCUAUAUUUGAGUGAAAAAAGCAUGAGAAUAUCAAUAUAUCACAAUUUCAAGCUAAACUAAUAUUCAUAUGGUUUAACAUUUCAACAGGGAUGUAUCAAGCUUGCACCAACGGUAAGUAGUAAACUUUAAUUUGCUUAUUUAAUUUAUGUGUACAAAUUAGUGUUUUAAUUGUUUCUGCAUGCCAAGUUGUUACUAUAUGUGCAUGUAUAUAUAGGUGCUCAAAUUCGAUCGGUGUAACAAUCUUCGUAUGAACAACAUGAACUUCAUCAACAGUCCCCAAACUCAUGUCACUUUGAUGGGAUGUAAUGGAGUGGAGUUUGGAUUCUUGAGCAUACAAGCUCCGGGAACAAGCCCUAAUACUGACGGGAUUCAUAUUCAGGCUUCCAGUAAUGUGUAUAUCCACAAUGCACAUAUCAGUGAUGGUACUUAAUUUAUAUAAAUAUUCAGCUGAACAUAAAGUGAAAUUAAAUAAAUAGGGAAAAUAUCCACAGUCCACCCAUUUUUUCCAACUUUUAAAAAAAUAUAUAAUUCUUUCUUUUUUUAGCUGGAAUCCACCUAAAAUUACAUUUUGUUUCACUUUUCCAUUUCUGUUUGGAAUCCGUUAAGAAAACUAACGGAAACUUAAAAAAAUGAUCAUUUUACCCCCAAAACGAAAAUUACAAUUUCACCCUAAAAAAUGUAAAAAAUAAUAAGAUUUAAUGAUAAAUAUCAUUAUUGGUAUGUUAAUGAAGUACAAAAAAAUCUUAACUACUAGAGAUUAUCACUCAAUGAAUAAUAAACUCUACUUAUCUUAAAUUCAAUUGAUGGUUUGCGAGAUUGGGCAAGUUUUAAUACUACUGUUAUAAUUUAGCAUUCUAAUUAUAGACAUAUUAAAAAAACCAUGCAUUUAAUGGUUGUGGAAUUCAUUUCUUUAUUGACUGAUGGGGAAAAUAAUUAGAUUUAAUCUGAUUAUUUUUUGUAAUUUUUAAGGUGAAAUUGUAAUUUUCGUUUUGCGGGGUAAAAUUGUCAUUUUUAAAGUUUCCGUUAGUUUUCUUAACGGAUUCCAAACGGAAGUGGAAAAAUGAAACAAAAUGUAACUUUAGGUGGAUUCCAGCAAAAAAAAGAAAGAAUUGUGUAUUUUUAAAAAAGUUGGAAAAAAUAAGUGGACGGUGGAUAUUUUCCCAAAUAAAUAUUACCUUCCAGUCAAGUCAUGAUGCUUUUGUUGAGCUUUAUUUUAGGUGAUGAUUGUAUUUCAAUUGGAGACAACACUUCAAACAUUAAUAUUACUCAAGUUGAUUGUGGCCCUGGUCAUGGCGUGAGGUAAGAAAUUAAUUUUAUGGGUUAAAUCAGCAUAAGAAAAAACACUUUUUUUUAAACAAAUUUUGAGACCUGUCUUAAAUUUAUUAUUGGAGUAUUUAUCAACUUAAGUUAUUAGGUUAAUAAAUUUCUCUAAUGCUAUCAAAGCGAAGUAUUAUGUUGAUUUAGUCCGUCUCAUGUGCAAACUCUGCUUUAACUUGCAUUAUUUUCGGCUUUUGUCUCUCGCUCCAUUGUCACGGUCUCUCUCGUCCACUAGAUCUUAAAAUCAGUUACUCUAAAAAGUUUCUUAGUUAACUCAAAUAAUUAUUUUUUAAGUCAAUUAAAAAAUUGAUUAGAAAAGUUAAGGCAAUCAUAAGUGUGAAAAUUCUUGGAGUAAAGCCAUAAUCAGUGAUUUGUAUGAUUCUGUGUUGGUCCUAGCAUUGGAAGCUUAGGCAAGGAUGGGGGUGAGGUACACGUUGAAAAUAUUACUGUGUCGAAUAUUAAUUUCAAGGGGACAACGAAUGGGGCAAGGAUAAAAACAUGGCAGGUAUAAUUGUUACAUUCAGAAUUACAUUCAUUUUUUCUAUAUAAAUUUUAGCGUAAUUAGAUUCCGGAAUUAAAUUUACAAUCUCCUUGAGUAUCAUAAAUGUAAAAAAUGGUGUUAUAUUAAAUUACACUUUAUUUAUUUGGAUUUUGUAGGUCGGAAAAGGCACAGUAAAGCACAUCGUGUUCUCAAAUUUAAACUUCACAGAUGUGGAAAAUCCUAUCAUUAUUGAUCAGCACUACUGUGAUGUUGCAGAUUCCUGCAAGGAAACGGUAAAGACAAAACUAGCCCUUCAAAAAAUAUUUUUAAAGAAUUGACGUAUAAUUAUUCCUUAGUUAUAGAUACAAUUAAGUCUUGUUCACAUUUUGCUUGAUUUGAAACUUUUAUCAUGAGGUGCGAAAUUUCGCACUUUAGAAACCACGGAUUUGAGCUAAUUAUUGAUAACUAGCAAGUUUAUACACGCAUUUUAAAAAAGAAUUAUGAUAAAUAUCCCAAAUUUUUAUCUCAAAUUUCAUCUCAAAUCAUGUGUCAUUUAUUAAAUGGUUGAUAUAUAAGUGAAUUAAUUAUAUUAUCUAACCAAUCAAUUGAUGAAUGCCACUUUAUUUAGGAUAGUUUUUUAGGAUAAAAAUUUUAGGAUGUGUAGUAAUACUCUUUGAAAAAUAGGAUGUUGAUUGUUGCAGAAGAAAAUAUUUGGCUCUACAUCCAACAUAGUAAACCAUUUUUGUCUCCAAUUAAUUAUUCCGAUUUCUAUAUGUGUUUUGAAUUAGUUUACACACAUAAAUAUAUAUGAUAUUGAUAUGUGUAUUUUUUUUUUUUUCUUAUGUUAAAGGACACUGGGGUUCAUAUAGAUGACGUUCUUUAUGCUCAGUCAUUCGGAACAUCGAAGACCGAAGUGGCAAUCAACCUCAAUUGCAGCAGCAGCUCUCCUUGUACUAAUAUCAUAGUAGACACGAUUCAACUGAAACCAGCAAAUCCAGGACAGCGAGUCAUUUCCAGUUGCAAUAAUGCUAAUGGCCAGUCUAAAGGAACCGAUCAACCUAAGUGCUGUUUCUAGAUGAUUAAAUUUUAAGAUACUAUACGCACAAUGUGACGGGCCGUAAGGAAGAUAAAAUUUUCUGGAUGAAUGGGAUAGGAGAACGGUGAGUUUUAUAUAUAUGAUCAGUCAAGUAAACUUUAAUUUAGUUAUGACUAGAUAUAUAUUUCCAUGUACUCAUGCAGUGUCAUUCAUAAUGAAGAUAAACACUCCCUGGAUGGUCAAUUUAUAUGAUAUCUACUGUUUGAUUGUAGGACAUCAAUAAUGACUCAAAAUUUAUGUCAAAAAUUUAAAUAAAAAUUUUUAGUUAAAAUAGCACAAUUCAAUUUUCAUAUAGGAUAAGUGUAUAAAUGCUUAAAGAUCUUUGGCCGAGUGGUGAACUCAUGUCCUCAUUUAAUUGAGGGUAUGGUGAAAUUCUUAAGAAUAGUUUUUCUCCCAAUUAAAAAUUGUGUAGAGAUGGGCAUCUCUGGGCGGAGUAGAUAUUCCUUUGGUUUUCAUUUUUUUGAGGUAGAAAUCUAGACUAUGCCAUAAUAGACUUGAUCUAAGAUGGCCCUAGUGGAUGUUAGAUGUUAAUAUCAGUAAAUUGCUAGUUGUAAUAUAAAUAUUAGUGUAAAUAUUAGUAUAAAUAUGGGUCACUCACCAUAAUUAUUGAAUUCUUCUGCACCUAACAUCAUGACCUUUAAACUAUGCCGAAUAAAAUAUGUGCAGUGUGCUGUUUAUUUUACUCUCUUUGACACUACAAGUUGAAUAUAAUAAUAUAAAGGAUAAUGCUAUUUAAAAUUCUUUUGUUUUUUCUUUAACUUAAAUUUCAUUAAAGAAACUAAAGAAGAGUACAACGGAAAUAUGCUGGAAAAUUUUUCCACCGAAACAACAGGACUUGGAUGACCGAUGCAUUGACUUGAAAAAAAAUAAAAUGGUUGAUUAGGUAGGUUUAACGUUUUAGAGCAUGUCCAUGAGUUUAAUAUUUCAUGAAUUCAUUUGAAAUUGCGCACAGCCAAUGAUAUUAAAAUUCACGAAAAGUAUAAUAUUUCGGGAAAUCGCUAAUUAACCAGAUUUGAGCAAAUUCAUAACUCCAUCGCCUGUUUGCAAAUGGCUGUAAUUAAAUCAUAGUUCAGCUGUGAGGAAUACAAUGCAAACCCUGAUCAAUAAAACUAUUAAAUUUAACUCGGAAAAUAAUUCGAGUAAAUCAUUUCGCUUGCCAGCUCAACGUCUGUAAGUUUCAUCCUAUAUAUUGACAACGGCAACGAUGCCGAUGACAACAACAACAACAAUAAUAAAUAAAUAAAUAAGAUUUGUUAAAAAAUAAUACCACAAAAUGUACUGCUGAAAAUUAAUUUUGUGAUAUUAUCUUAAGCCAAUCAAGUAUUAAUUUGAUUUAGCCAGGGCUGCUGCCCUCCAACUUGGAGGGCAGCAGUUCGAACCCCCACAAAAGUAUUAUGGGAGUAUUUCCUUCCUCAAUUAAAAAUUGAGUGAAGACAGUCAUCUUCUUUACUCAUGAGUGAGGAGUGGACAUCCCUCGAAUAUUUAUGAGGGUUAAAAUCUGGGCAGAGCUCCAUUAACAUUGAUGUAAGUUGGUCCCAGUAAUAAUCUGAUUUGUAAAUAUUAGUUAUACUCUCAUAUAAUAUAAGUUGUAAUCUGAGCAAUAGUCUCAUGUAAUAAAAAAAAAUGAAAGACAGUGCACCCAAGAGUAUCCUCCUAACUAGAUCUUAGAUGAAAUUAGAUUUCAGUGUCAAACUCAUGCAUAAGUUAAUCCACACUAUUUUACUAUGUAAAACGAAUUAUGAAAAAGAUCGGCCUGCACGUGACGUGGGUGUUCAUAAAAUAAUUUGACAUUGCCUGAGAUAUUGCGUUAAGUGUAUAUGCUAGAGAGAACCCUCUUGAGCUACCUUUUAAGUAGGCGUCUGUACUUCUUUCUUACCAUUAUACCUUUCAAUUCUAAUAAACCAAAAAUUGAAAAAUAAAAUUAAAACAAAUAUAUCAUAAACAACAUAAGAUAUAUUUUAUAAAUUAUUUUGAAUAUUAAUCAAUUUUUCAAUAUUGCUAAUUUGGCAUAUAUUUCAGUAUUAGUAAAAUUAUUUGAAUUGAUAAUAUUAAUAUAAUUAUAUUUAAAUUUAAAAUCUUUAAUAACAAUCCUUGGGGUCAAUACACUUUAAUAUUAGUAAAGAGUAGUGAUCUUUGAGCCUCAAUGUAUCUCUUUAGCCCUCAUUUUUCAAUUAAUUCAUUAUAUUUCUAAAAUUACCCUUAGAGAAAUUUAAAAAAAUAGUAUUUUUUUUCCUCUAUGGUGGUGCUCGAGAGGGAAAGAGUAAAGAAAAAAAAAUGAUUUUUGUUUUUCGAUGGGUAAUUUAUAAACAAAAUCAAGCUGCUGAGAUGAAUUGAGAGAAUUAUAUAUCAUUACUCGUUAGUUAAAUAUUUGUGAAUGUUACUGAUAUCAAAGUUAAAAUUUGUGAUUAAGGAAGCGAAGGGGGGAAAAAAAAAACAUUACAGGAAUGUAAGAAGCGGCUGCUUGGAAGGAGAAGGGGAUAAAAGAAAGAGAACAAAGAAAGUUACAUUGGUAAGUUUUAUAAUUUUAGUUUUCAGAUAAUUAGUAAAACUAUGUGUUUUUGUGUUUAAUAAGAAAAAUUAAGAUUGAGUUAAAUCAUGUCCAUCCAAUAAUUUAAAUUACACAUGUUAAUUUUUUUUUAAACAUUAAGAAAGAUUAGAUUGGGGGAUGAUCUGGAUCCGAAAUGGAAAAUAUCUCUGACUGAAUAAUUAGUAUCCCUUCUUUUCUUUCUUGUAAUUAUUUUUCCUUUUUGUUAUUAUUAUUCGAACUCAAGUAAUUGUGUAAACAAAGCACAGUCAUGGGGUGAGCCAAGUUAUGCUAAAGGGCCUUGUGGAAGAACAUAAAAUCUAAAUUAAUUGAAAAAAAAAAUUCAUUUAUUCAAAAUUAAUAUUCAUCCUCUUAGAGCCUUUGUAAUUUUGUGCUUAUUUAGGUAACCCGACAACUAUUACAAGGACAAUUGGGUAUAUUUUAGGGAAAAUGAGUACAAUCCCUCUGCUGUUUAGUCAAAAUUCUCCUAAUAUUUUAAAUUAAGUUCAAAUCCCCGUUAUAAUGGUUGUCAACUUUACUAAUUAUUUAACCUUGCAAAAAUAAUAAGAGCUAAUUUUAAUUUGAAAAUAAAAAGAAAAUGAUAAAUUUCGUCACCAUUACAAUCCACCCGUCACCAAAUUCAUUCGUAAUCAUCUAAUUUCCAUUCUAAAGACAAAAGAUUACAAACAAAAAUAACUGCAAGCCCAAGUCUCCACCGCACAUAUCAGAUAUCACCUGAUUAGCGUAGAUCCUCCAUUGGGUUUACAGUCCAAUGACAUAAAAUUCCCUUGAAACUAGUGAAAAUCCUAUCAUCUACUUAAGAAAUAACAUAUCAUAUGUCGCAUAAUUUACAUUAAAAAUUUAAAAAUAUAUUUGAAAUUUUUAGUAUUACUCUUUGGACGAUACAGAUAAGAAGGUAACUCAAAUAAACUUUAAAUUUUUUUUUCCAAAACCUCUUGUUUUCAAUACAAAAGAUUUUAUUAUCUCAAUUAGAUGGCUCCGAGAGAUGUUAAAAUAUUAAAGUUAAUAACACAAACUGCAUUAUUAGUUUGCAGAUAAAUAACAUUGAUAUAGAAUUAUAAAAAACUUCCAACGGAUUGGAUAAUGAAAACCUAGAAGAAGCUAACUUUGUGGAGGAUUAUUUAUGCAAUUAAAAUAGGGUUAAUUUCUUAGUAGGGUUAUAUUGAAAAUGAAUUUUAUAAGGAUUUUGAAUUUGAUGAAUAUGGCGGCUGUAUUCAGCAGUUUAAGCAAAUAUCUAACCCAAUUACAAUAAAAAAGAACUAGGUCAGUUUUAAUAAAAUUUUCAUAUAUACAUUUAUUUUAAAAUCAAGUAAUUAUAAUGAGAAAAAAAUCGAAAUUAUACGUUGAUCAGAUUUAUUGCGUGAUCCCGUUGAAACUGUACCAUGGAAAUUUUAUCGGUAAGACUAGCUAGGUAUAUAGCUUACUCUUAUAAAUGAAUGUCUAGCUAACAAGUUAUAUAUUUUCACCGAUGAUUUUUUUAUUAUUCCAUAUGUACCUUAAAAGUUUUCAUAUGUGGUUUCCAUAAAAAAAAAUGUUCAUGACAUAUUAUAGCGAGACCAUUAACCAUAAUCUUCGAUAAUUUAUAAUAUUCAUCACUCUACGUCUACUGCACUACUGCACCUGGGUUGAUUUUAUCUUCUAAUGCAGAGUCUGACAUCAAUAAGUUAUAACACUCAACAAAUAAAUAUUAGAUAUUGCACGAUGAGGAUAAUUAAAAACUAAUCUAAAUAAAUAGAUCGGAUAGAUAUUGCAUGAUAAGGAUUAUUAAAAUCUAGCCUAAUUGAAUACAUUAUCAGGACCAUGUUGGAUUAAUUUGGAAAUAAAUAUUAUUGUUAGUACGGCAAAUCUCUAACAAUUUGGCAAUAAGUUCAAAAUUAUCAAUGUAUUCAAAUAAAAAGAUCUAUAUAUGGGCUCAAAUUGGAAACCCCAUGUAUGAGAGAAUCUAUUAUGGGAUUAUCUUGCAUAUUAGAGCUUUGAAGGAUAAAUAUAAGUAGAAGACCAAAUGAUCAGUUGUUAUAAAUCAUCAAAAUAUUUUUAGUAUUAUUAUAUUCAUAACUAAAAGCGUAUAGUCUUCAUUUUUGUUGCAAAUAGACAAUGGCAAGAAGAGACAUUUAUCCUCAAUUAAUUCACUCUUUCGCUCUCUCAUUCUUUCAUUUUAAAUUUCUUUCUGCCAAUAUGCAUAUCAUAUUUCAUUUUUACUCUCAAUGCAGGAACUAUUUUUCAUCAUCUCUUUGCUAAUGCGCAUGGCUACAUUGGGUUGGAGCCGAUCGUAUCCUGGAGCAAUGCCUUAUAACGUUAUGAACUUUGGUGCUGUGGGAAAUGGAGUUACCGAUGAUUCCCAAGUAAAUAUAUAUCCUUUACAUACGAGUCAUUCUCCAAAUGGAACGCUUUUCAUAAAAUAUAGAUUUAAUAUUAUAAAACAUUUCAUAACUAUGAUACAAUGUUAAACUACAAGCCACACUAUAGAGAGCUAUUAGUCAUUCUCUAAUACGGAUGCCCACACUUAAUGUAUCAUAUGAUGUAAAAAUGAAUCCAUAUUUUAAAAAAAUAUGGGUACCUCAUAGUUAUAUAUACUUUUUUCUGAUGUAUCCAAUCACCAUAUUCUAUCUCGCUAGACAUUAAAUGUGUUUCCUAAGAUUUGAACUGUGAUCCUUUGUUUUUAUUAUGCAAGUCAAAUCAACUGAACUAUCAUUUGGAGAUGAUUCAAUCCCCAGUGCCACAUAGAUAUAUGAGAGCUUUUGGUAAUUGAAAAACCACAAAAUCCAACCAUGCAAACUUGACCUAAAAUAGAAACUGACAAGCUCUGAUUAGAAAUAGUAAAUAUAUUAUGUAUGAGAGAUAUAAAACGCACGAUAUAGAAUGAAACAUGAGACACGGAUAAGUGAAACAAGAAUUAAAAUGACAACAUCGAAUUAAUACUCACUUUCGAAAGAAGAGAAAAAGAAAAAAUCAGUAAUCAAUAGAAGAACUAGAGUCUAGAGAUUAAUUACAGCUAGUUUGCCUUUCUCAUCAAUUUAAAAUAUCAAAGCUCUUUAGUUUCUGUUCUUCUUAAUUUUUUUUUUUCCUUGUGUUAGUAUUUUACGGUAACUUCUGUGAUUUAAUUCAUUUCUAGGCUUUUAUUAAAGCAUGGAACGCGGUUUGUGGAGAUACAUCAAACAAUCCAACCCUUCAGGUUCCUCAGGGCAAAACAUUCUUGCUGCAACCUACAAGUUUCCAAGGUCCAUGCAAAUCUUCCAACCUCCAAGUUCAGGUAAAUGGAUUUUAAUUUUCUCACCAUCAUCAAUACCUUUCAUAAUACUAGCAAUAUUUAUCAAUAAGAAAGGUAUAACGUCAUCACACUCUCUGUUGACUAUUUCAAUUUUUUUUAUGCACUCCAAAUUUUUUUAUUACCGACGUAUGUCCCAAAAUUCUAUUUAUUGUGUACAUAAUAUAUUGUAAGUCAGCGGUCAAUAAUGGAAGCACGGGAAUCAAUACUGGAAAUAUUAAGGGUAUUAACGAAAGAUUUAAUAAUUUUUCAAUACCGGACAGAAUUAUACUGUAGUUUCUCGAAAAAGAAAGUCUUACUUAAAGCUCUAUUUUUUUAACACAGAUUGAGGGGAAUCUCAUUGCACCUGAAGGACCGUCAAGUUGGAAAGGAAAAGAUCGAAGGUCUUGGCUUUACUUCGUAAAUGUCAAUGGAUUUACUGUUAAUGGAAAUGGAGAAAUUGAUGGCCAAGGAUCACAGUGGUGGAAGCUUUGCUCGGAUGUGGGUGCACAACAUUUUUUGCAAACUCUCGUCUCUUUUACUGAACCUUUUUUUUUUUUUUCAUUAUUUUUAUAACAAAUUCUCAUACACCUUCCUGAAUCAUAUGCAGUAUAGCGAGGACUGCACGAAACCCACAGUAAGAAAAUUUGUGAACAAAAUGCUUAAUUAACAUAAACAUUCAUCAAAUGUAAUGAUAAUAUUACAUACACAAUCCUUUUUCAUGAAUAUGAUGGAUGGCAACAGGCAUUAGUAUUUGAAAAAUGUACCAGCUUUCAAGUCAGUGGACUGAAACAUAUCAACAGUCAGAAAAAUCACAUCUCCUUAGAUAACUGUCAGGAUGCAACUCUCUCUAAUCUCCACAUAUCAGCCCCUGAAUCAAGCCCUAACACUGAUGGCAUUGACAUCUCUGCCUCCCAAAACAUUCAUAUUCUCAACAGUAACAUUGCCACAGGUUAGUAUUAUUCUUCUUUUGCUUUUUCUAGUACAUUCAAUUUUGUACCUUUGUUUAUUAUUAUCUUUAGAAAUUAUCCAAUUCAGAAUCAAAAUCCAGAAAAGCUAUAACCCCAUAUGGUGCAAUAGUAUAAUAUAAUAGUUUUUCCUGAGUUUAAUAAAGUCCAAGAUCCUAAAUUAGAUUAGUACUCUUACUAUCAUUUCUUCUUUCUAUUUUCUUGAGUUUAACUGUGCGUAUAGCAUAAAUUUUUGUUGUAUGAAUUUAGGUGAUGAUUGCGUUGCAAUUAACACGGGAAGCUCUCAGAUUAAUGUAACUGGGUUGACAUGUGGUCCGGGGCAUGGUAUAAGGUUUGUUAAUUAUGAUGACUUUGUCUAAUUAAUCCAAACGAUUUACAAAGCGUGGCAAGUAUCUAUACUUAUAAGAGCAUUUGUUAUUCUAGCAUCGGAAGCCUAGGAAAGCAAGGAGAGGCAGCAGCAGUUGAGGAAGUACAUGUGAAAAAUUGUACUUUGAACGCAACUCAAAAUGGAUUGAGGAUCAAAACAUGGCAGGUAAUUAAAGUCUUCUUAAAUUAACCAAUAAUAUUCAUCAUUUGUAAUAUAUAUUUCUUAUUUCAAAAUUUAUUCUUAAUGGUUCUUAAUAUUUAUAGGGGGGGUCUGGGUAUGCCAGGAAGAUAACUUUCAACGACAUUACACUCACAGAUGUUGACAAUCCCAUCAUCAUUGACCAAUUUUACUGCCCACAUGAACAAUGCAGUAAUGAAGUAAGCAAAUAAUAAAAAUCUUGAUUCUAUCGUGUACUUGAUUGUAGAUUUCUUAUUGCUUAUACUUUUACUAAUACAAUAUUUUAUUUUGAUUAAUUAAAAAGACAAAUGCAGUCAAAAUAAGUGAUGUUUCUUACACUGGAAUUCAUGGGACAUCAAUCACACAAGAUGCAAUUGCCUUGAAUUGCAGCCGGACUGUUGGCUGUGACAACAUAGUGCUGGAGCACAUCCACAUAACUUCAUCGAAUUCGAAGGAGGGAACUUAUUCAACUUGCAUCAAUGCUCAUGGAAAAUGUGAUGAUUCAGUCCCUAGUGUUGGCUGUUUGAAAUAAAUUUGUAGCAUUUGUUUACACAGCUGCUUUAUUCUUAAGAGAAGCCCCUUUUUUUUUUGUGCAAAAAAGAAAAGUUAGAUCUGUUACACAGCCUUUCAAUAUUUGAGAGAAAUUAGAUCUGCUAAUUUGUAAUCAUUUUGAAAAUUUAUAAAAAGGUCACAUGGAGUUGGUUUUUUUUACUGUUCUGGCAACUUUAAUAGAUAAUUAGUUAAAAGUCUCGUGCUUACUGCAAUUUCCCAAGCAAACCUUAUUUCAAUUCAACGCACCUACGGACGGACCCUCUUGUCUUUAGGCCCAGUUUAUAAAGAUCUUUCCUCUGGUCUCAAUUUAUGUCCACGUGAGGAAAUGUUGAGACUCUGCUUUAGUACCACUGCUGAGUCCCAGGCCCUGGCCCAUUUACAAGCCCCCCUUUAUGUCUUAAUUGCUACCUUACAUGAAUAAAUCUACCAGUCUUUAAUAUUAGAGUCGAACUAUUGGCACCUCUAUAUUUUUCUUACAAAACCUCACUUUAAAUAAAAUUAUAAUUAAAGACAAUUGAAAAUUAAACACAUAUAGAUUUUUUUUCUAGCAAAUUACUUAAUUCAUAAUCAAUCAUUUAAAAACAAAAUUAUAUGUUACUUCCUAUUUAACUAAAAUAAAUUGUACAAAUUUAGAAUAAUCUAUUUUCUCUUUUGAUUUUUUAUUGAUUAAAUAUUUUUAUACUUAAAAUUGAUUUGAAAUAUAUGUUAUUUUAGCCAAUGAUUAACACUAAAAAACUUAUCACCCAUAUAACUUUUUAAAUUUGUGUGUAGAUUAAUAAUAAAAUUGAAAAUAAUUAAAAAAAUAACACAAUAAUACUUUGAGUUUUAACAAUAAAACAAAUCAAAUAAAAAUUAAAAACUUAGAAAAAUGUAUAUAAAAAAGGGGUAUUUUCGGAAUUAAAAUGAAUAUAAUUAAAAAGGGGGUUUUAUGAGGAGAUGAGAGAGGUGCCAAUAGUCCAACUCUUAAUAUUAUUAUUAAGUUGUUACCUAAAAGAUAUAAAAGAUAACCAAUAAUUUGAGGAGUGUUACCAAAAAAAUUUUAGGAGACAAUGGCUAGCAUAAAGUUUUCAAAAUACAUGUUUUUCCUGAAUCUGAUUAUUUGUUUUACAGUGUGAGAACAUUAAAAAAUAACUAAGUAAACAAAUAUUGAACUAUUUCAAUUACCGACAUAAAUAUACCAACUUCUUGUUAUUAUUAUUAUUAUUAUUUUUAAUACAACUCUUUACGUAUAGAACUUAUUCAGCACAUAUUUGCCGUUUUAGGAACCUCGAAACUGACCAAAUGGAAGGUCGCAUAUCCCCUUCUGGAAGUUAUUUAAAUUUCUAUGCUAAAUUCAUAUUACAAACAGCUAAAAUUUUGGAACACUAAUCCUAGCAAAUUUGUCUGAGGGGUAAAAUACGAAAACCAACUAAAAAAAAUCAAUAUCCACAUCUAGGAGAAUGAUGUUGCAAUAUCGUAUAUGAAUUACAUUUUAUAGAAAAAAGAAAAUUGAUAACCGAAAACAAUGAUAUGAACGUUACAGAAAAGUUAUUAUUAUUUUCAAAGAUUCGACAAUAUAACCCGGCGGACUGCAUAUGGAACAAUCUUUAGAAAGAGCGGUUUCAUGAGCAAUAAAUCAAAAGCACCAAAAAUAGCUUACCAGCCUAGCAAGACGUGCUCGUUGCCACCCAAAUUCUAUCCCCCCCCUCCCGUCUCCUUCUCUCUCUUCUGGUAUUGUUCAUCCUGCAAUCUUUCUUGCCGGCAGGCCGCCAUGGAGAACAAGCCAUACCCUCCCGAGCAGUGGCGCGCAUGGCUCACGCCGGUCAUCUUUGUUGUUUGCAUUAUUAUGUUUGUUUACACCAUGCAUGUAAACAAUUGCCCUGUGAAAACUGCAGACAGUCACCAAUGUGUUUUGAGAGAUAUAUUAGGGAGAUAUUCCUUUCAACCCUGGAAGGAAAAUUAUCUCCUCGGACCUUCCAUCUCCACGUAAUUAAGAAGUCGAACCCUCAACAAUGUUUCUGUUUCAUUUUGUGUACUUAAUUGGAAACAGGGAUAGAUUACUCUCCUUUAUUUUCUUCCAGGCUCAGAGAUCUCGGUGGCCUUGACCGAAACCUAAUUGUGAGGAAAAAUCAAAAAUAUCGUCUCUUGUCUAGCAUGUGGCUUCAUGCUGGAAUCAUUCAUUUGGUUGUCAACAUGACGAGCCUUAUGCUUGUUAGUUACCGCCUGGAACAGGAAUUUGGAUUCGGUAAGAACUUGAUAAUGAACUACGAGUGAAUUAUUGUACUAUAAGUUCUUACUGGUUGUAAAUCACUCUUGAAUAUGGCAGCGAGAAUAGCACCUCUGUAUCUGCUUUCUGGGUUUGGUGGAAGCCUUUUAUCUUGUCUUCACCAUAAAGGAAAGAAAGAAAUUGUUUCAGUUGGAGCAUCCGGUGCACUCUUUGGACUGUUGGGAACCAUGCUUUCUGAGUUAAUUGCAAACUGGACGAUCUAUGCAAAUAAGGUGACUAUGUUACUAACUGCUUUAAAAUAAUAACACAAUGACAUAAACCUCGCAGAUAUUAUUCUUAAAUAAUAAUAAUAAUAGUUGUGAAAUUGAAAGUCAUAAUAUUAAGAAAGUAAGUUCAAACAUCAUUCCAGAAUGAACUUUCACAAAGAUAUAAACAGAUAUAAGUUCUAACUCUUCUCUGUUCAGUGCACAUCACUUUCAGUUCUAGGUUCUGUUAUUGCCCUGAAUUUGGCUUUUGGAUUCAUACCCGGUGUGGAUGGUGUAGACAAUUUGGCACAUAUUGGAGGAUUUGCCUCUGGAGUUCUCCUUGGAUUCAUCCUCUUUCUACGUCCCCAAUAUGGAUAUGUAAGCGAAAAAUACAUUGCUGCAGGAUAUGAUGCCAAGCAUAGGCAACCCAAGUACAUGCACUAUCAACAAUUGUGUUGGAUUAUAGCUUUAAUCCUCUUAGUCCUUGGGUAUAUCACUUAACACUCAUUUCAAACAUUUGUUGAAAAUUUCACAAUUGGGGUUCACAAAUUUCAGCUAACCAUUGCCAUUUUGUCAGAUAUGCACUCGGCUUGUCCAAGCUAUACAAAGGCGACAAGAUACACAACGAACCUCUCCCACACUCUCAUAGCUGAUUAUUCUUGUAGCAGAUUAACCACAAAACCUUCAUGUAACACUAGGAUACUGGAUUCCAACCUUCACAUCCUUACAUCUAUGUAGACAAUAUCCAUGCACGCAUAUGCAAUAGAGCACACAAGAUAUAUGUCGAUAAAUACUGGAUGAUAUUUAGGCAUUUAUGCAUAUGCAUACAACUCAGUUCUCGGAUCUUAUCAUUUGAACUUCUAUUCUUUUAUCUUUUAUCAGUGUAAGGAAGAUGCUUUCUUAAGUGUACAAAAGGGAGAUAGAUGUUUGAAAUAGUAAUACUGCACAAUAACUACGGAUAGUUCAUAAAAUAUCUUCCUUUCCUAUAGGAUAAAAGAAAACUUUGCAAGGAAGUGAUGCACAAAAUACUCAGAUACAAACUUUCAACAUUUGGAAUUAGCAGAAACAGUAAACUUUUGAUGCUCUCAAACCUCCAGGAUAUCAUUUAAAAGGAUCGUCCGAUCCUGCUUUCCUUUUCCUAAAGCUUCAAACUAUCCUGGUCCUCACAAAUUUCCAACCUAACAGGAUGUAGUCCUUGGACCAAGAGAAUUCAACAAAACUACCAGGAUUUAAAAUAUUGAAAUUAUCAAAUGGGAGCUCCAUACCUCUAUGUGGGUCCCACAAAUAGCAUUCCCUCAAUGAUGUUAUCACUCCAUUAUAUGUGCAGCUGCUUGCUGCAGAAGUCUACUUAAUUAGAAUGGGGAAUGGGAGGUUGAGGGUGAGUGUGCGUGCCAUUCUAUCAACUACUAAAGAAACAGGAUACUAUAAGGAGGAAAGACAUGGUUACCAAAAAAAUAUUGCCCGCUGUAGAAAAUAUGGAAAGAUUAGAUUAGUUGUCUAAUUUGUCUGAUUUGUACAGUUAUUACUAAUUUGUAUAAUUCCAGAAAUUAGGAAGUUAAAUUAGGAAUGUGUGGUCCUAUAAAUUAACCCUAUUGUACUGGCUGUUAGAUGUACUUAAAAAUAAGAAAAGAUAUUUAUUCUUCUCCUCUGUUAACAUGGUAUCAGAGCUAUGGCAGAAUUAAGCCUGGCUUGACUCCCAUACGGAUCUAUUCAUUGUCUUGUUAUAAUGGCGCAAAACACCAUGCCUGGGGUUACAGUAACUGGUGAUACCAAUUCCACUGCUACAUCUACUGGAAUUGGUGCAGGGGAGUUUCUUCCGUCAGGAUCUGGAAACUUGAACGGAAGUGAGAGUUUUCCCAUGCAAUUAUCCGGUCACAAAUUGAACGGUAAGAACUAUCUAGAAUGGGCGCAAUCCAUUAAGUUGGUGGUCGAUGGCAAGGGUAGACUUGGCUACAUCACCGGUGAGACGAAGGAGCCGGAAAAAACUGAUCCAACAUGGAAGACUUGGAAAUCGGAAAAUUCCCUAGUUAUGUCCUGGUUGAUCAAUUCCAUGGAGGUUUCUAUUGGGAGGACGUAUUUGUUUCUUCCCACCGCAAAGGAUGUAUGGGAUGCAGUUCGAGAAACGUAUUCUGAUCUAAAAAAUUCAUCACAGAUUUUUGAAUUGAA
rnacentral:lncRNA from 1 species